AAUCAACGCUGGCGGCGUGCCUCAGACAUGCAAGUCGAACGAUUAAACUUUCCUUCGGGAAAGAUAUAAAGUGGCGCACGGGUGAGUAACACGUAGGUAAUGUACCUUUGGGUGGGGAAUAACCAUCGGAAACGAUGGCUAAUACCGCAUAAUGCAGCGGCAUCGCAAGAUGACAGUUGUUAAAGAUUUAUCGCCUAAAGAGCAGCCUGCGGCAGAUUAGGUAGNGGUAAGGUAAUGGCUUACCAAGCCUGCGAUCUGUAACCGACCUGAGGAGGGUGGUCGGUCACACUGACACUGAAUAACGGGUCAGACUCCUACGGGAGGCAGCAGUCGGG
rnacentral:rRNA from 1 species